CAAGGCCCCUGCGACUGACGGGCUGAUGUGGACUUACCACAGGGGAGCAGGGAAUUGGCCUUUUUUGCCGACCGUCUGGGCAGUGUCG
rnacentral:ncRNA from 2 species